rnacentral:ncRNA from 1 species
UAAAAAAUCUUGAUGAAUAGAGUAAUUAUAGCUAGCUUUCUUACAGAGAAUUACUGGUUGGUGAGAAGUAAAAGAAACUGCUUAAUGAAGAUGGAUUCAGAAUGAUUAUACUAGUGAUAUUUAGCUAGUAUCGGGGUUGCUCUCGUUAACAAUGCAAGCUAUUGUUAGAUAGCUAUUGAGGUCAGUUAUGUAAAUAGCUGGCAAAUAAAGGUGGUAACACGAAGCACUCGUCCUUUGA